AGAGUUUGAUCCUGGCUCAGAACGAACGCUGGCGGCAUGCCUUAUACAUGCAAGUCGAACGAGAAAGUCAUUUCGGUGGCGAGUACAGUGGCGCACGGGUGAGUAACGCGUAGAUGAUCUACCCUUCAGUCUGGGACAACUCUUGGAAACGGGAGCUAAUACCGGAUAAAACCUUCGGGUUGAAAGAUUUAUCGCUGGGGGAUGAGUCUGCGUACCAUUAGCUUGUUGGUGGGGUAACGGCCUACCAAGGCGACGAUGGUUAGCGGGUCUGAGAGGACGAUCCGCCACACUGGAACUGAGACACGGUCCAGACUCCUACGGGAGGCAGCAGUAGGGAAUAUUGCGCAAUGGGGGCAACCCUGACGCAGCAAUGCCGCGUGAGUGAAGAAGGCCUUCGGGUUGUAAAGCUCUUUUAUGGGGGAAGAUGAUGACGGUACCCCAUGAAUAAGCACCGGCUAACUACGUGCCAGCAGCCGCGGUAAUACGUAGGGUGCGAGCGUUGUUCGGAAUUACUGGGCGUAAAGGGCGUGCAGGCGGAUUGGCAAGCCGGAGGUGAAAGCCCGGGGCUCAACCCCGGAGGGUCUUUCGGAACUGCCAGUCUUGAGAGGGUCAGGGGCCAGCGGAAUUCCUGGUGUAGAGGUGAAAUUCGUAGAGAUCAGGAGGAACACCGGCGGCGAAAGCGGCUGGCUGGGGCCACUCUGACGCUGAGGCGCGAAAGCGUGGGGAGCAAACAGGAUUAGAUACCCUGGUAGUCCACGCCGUAAACGAUGGGCACUAAGCGUCCGACGGGUUCGACCCUGUUGGGUGCUGCAGUUAACGCGUUAAGUGCCCCGCCUGGGGAGUACGGUCG
rnacentral:rRNA from 1 species